AUUGAACGCUGGCGGCAGGCCUAACACAUGCAAGUCGAACGAGUGGCGGACGGGUGAGUAAUGUCUGGGAAACUGCCCGAUGGAGGGGGAUAACUACUGGAAACGGUAGCUAAUACCGCAUACCAUCGGAUGUGCGCCGAUGGGGUUAGCUAGUGGGUGGGGUAACGGCUCACCCAGGCGACGAACCCUAGCUGGUGUGAGAGGAUGACCAGCCACACUGGAACUGAGACACGGUCCAGACUCCUACGGGAGGCAGCAGUGGGGAAUAUUGGACAAUGGGCGAAAGCCUGAUCCAGCCAUGCCGCGUGUGUGAAGAAGGUCUUCGGAUUGUAAAGCACUUUAAGUUGGGAGGCGUUACCAACAGAAUAAGCACCGGCUAACUUCGUGCCAGCAGCCGCGGUAAUUC
rnacentral:rRNA from 1 species